rnacentral:rRNA from 1 species
UACGUAGGGGGCAAGCGUUGUCCGGAUUUAUUGGGCGUAAAGAGCGUGUAGGCGGCUUUACAGGUCCGUUGUGAAAACUCGAGGCUCAACCUCGAGACGCCGGUGGAAACCGUAAAGCUAGAGUCCGGAAGAGGAGAGUGGAAUUCCUGGUGUAGCGGUGAAAUGCGUAGAUAUCUGGAGGAACACCGGUGGCGAAGGCGGCAUCCUGGACCAAUUCUGACGCUGAGGAGCGAAAGCCAGGGGAGCAAACGGG